rnacentral:rRNA from 1 species
ACGUAGGGGGCAAGCGUUGUCCGGAUUUAUUGGGCGUAAAGAGCGUGUAGGCGGCUUGGUAGGUCCGCUGUGAAAACUCGAGGCUCAACCUCGAGAUGUCGGCGGAAACCACUUGGCUAGAGUCCGGAAGAGGAGAGUGGAAUUCCCGGUGUAGCGGUGAAAUGCGCAGAUAUCGGGAAGAACACCUAUGGCGAAGGCAGCUCUCUGGGACGGUACUGACGCUGAGACGCGAAAGCGUGGGGAGCGAACAGGA